rnacentral:rRNA from 1 species
CGGGGUGCACCAGGCGCGAAAACUUUACAAUGCUGGAAACAGCGAUAGGGGGACUUUGAGUGCCAGGAUACAAUCUUGGCUGUCGUAAUGCCUAAAAAGCAUUGCAUAGCAAGGGCCGGGCAAGACCGGUGCCAGCCGCCGCGGUAACACCGGCGGCUCGAGUGGUAACCGCUAUUAUUGGGUCUAAAGGGUCUGUAGCCGGCUGGAUAAGUCUCUUGGGAAAUCCGACAGCUUAACUGUCGGGCUUUCAGGAGAUACUGUCCGGCUCGAGACCGGGAGAGGUGAGAGGUACUUCAUGGGUAGGGGUGAAAUCUUGUAAUCCUUGAAGGACCACCAGUGGCGAAGGCGUCUCACCAGAACGGAUCUGACGGCAAGGGACGAAAGCUAGGGGCACGAACCGGAUUAGAUACCCGGGUAGUCCUAGCCGUAAACGAUACUCGCUAGGUGUCAGCCACGGUGCGACCGUGGUUGGUGCCGUAGGGAAGCCGUGAAGCGAGCCACCUGGGAAGUACGGCCGCAAGGCUGAAACUUAAAGGAAUCGGCGGG